AGACCAUUUGCUCGCAUACAAGGACCAGGAGCCCAACCAAGGCUGCCGGCAGCGCAACCUAACAACUGGACGGGCGCUAGGGUUUGGGUUCUACCCUCUUUAUUUCCUCCCUCCCUGCGCCGCCGCCUCCGUCCGUUGUAGCACAAGCAGAAGCACCUUGCGCCGCCGCCUCCGUCCGUUGUAGCACAAGCAGAAGCACCUUGCGCCGCCGCCUCCGUCGUCUCAGCAGAAGCAGCGAUCCCCAUCGCCAACAACCAAAGAAAGUGUUUCUGCUUUGGGCACACCGUAGACAUGUUCCAAAUACAUGGAUACGCAGGUGAAGCUCGCAGUGGUGGUCAAGGUGAUGGGCCGCACCGGGUCCAGGGGUCAGGUGACCCAGGUGAGAGUCAAGUUCCUGGACGACCAGAACCGUCUCAUCAUGAGGAACGUCAAGGGGCCUGUCCGGGAGGGCGACAUCCUCACCCUGCUCGAGUCUGAGCGGGAGGCCAGGAGGCUGCGCUAAGCACUUUCUUUCUUCACCUGUCUGUCUUCGGAAGUACUCCUGAAAUUGUGUGCUGUUGCCUUCUUACUCUACUGCUUCCGUCUUUUGCCUUGGCUAUGGAGAUGUAAUGAGUUUCCUUCUGUUGCUGAAAUUAAAAUGCACUUGAUGUUAUUGUUGCACACCUCUCGGUAAUGAGAAUCGACUAUAUUGAAUCCUA